UACGUAGGGGGCGAGCGUUGUCCGGAGUUACUGGGCGUAAAGCGUCCGCAGGCGGUCGGUCAAGUUUGGAGUGACAGUUCCCGGCUUAACUGGGAAAGCGCUUCGAAAGCUGGUCGACUUGAGGGCUUCAGAGGGACACGGAAUUCCGGGUGUAGUGGUGAAAUGCGUAGAUAUCCGGAGGAACACCAAAGGCGUAGGCAGUGUCCUGGGAAGUUCCUGACGCUCAUGGACGAAAGCCAGGGGAGCGAACGGGG
rnacentral:rRNA from 1 species